UUAUAGUGGAAGCGGAUGGAGCCGACGUAUCCGGUGCGUAUUCAGCUGUUAGUUAGUGCAUUCCAUUUGUUUUGGGUUCUGCAAAGUCCUGAGCAGGUGAGGAUGUAYUAACGAGCGGUGCAUUUGCGUACAGAGUGCGCCGAAUCGGUCGAGCACGCUGUUGGAAGGUCGAAAAGAGGACUAGCUUGCUAGAAACCUGGUUGGCCGGAAGGCGGUUGAGCUUGGCUGUUUUAAAGGGAUUGGUGAAUUCGUGAUCAGUUGCGGGCAAUAKAGUGGUUUUAGUGCGAUGCAUGCAUUUCGCUUUAAUGGCUUUGUUGUCCGUGGUUGGUUGCUCUGUCCCCCAUUCGGUGUCUAGUCGGUCACCCAUUUGACCCGUCUUGAAACACGGACCAAGGAGUUUAAGGUGUGCGCAAGUCAAUAGGCUCAGCAUAGACCUAUAGGCGUAAUGAAAGUGGGCUACUUAGUGGCUGUGGUGUGAUCGGUUGUUUUUUCGAAGGCAGCCGAGCAACAUCGACCCAUGACUGGAACUUGUUCUGUUGUGGAGUCUGAGCGUAUGCUUUGAGACCCGAAAGAUGGUGAACUAUGCCUGAACAGGACGAAGUCAGAGGAAACUCUGAUGGAAGUCCGAAGCGGUUCUGACGUGCAAAUCGAUCG
rnacentral:rRNA from 1 species